rnacentral:rRNA from 1 species
AUCAUCAUGCCCUUUAUGACUUGGGCUACACACGUACUACAAUGGCGUUAAACAAAGAGAAGCAAGACCGCGAGGUGGAGCAAAACUCAGAAACAACGUCCCAGUUCGGACUGCAGGCUGCAACUCGCCUGCACGAAGUCGGAAUUGCUAGUAAUCGCAGAUCAGCAUGCUGCGGUGAAUACGUUCCCGGGCCUUGUACACACCGCCCGUCACACCAUGAGAGCCGGGGGGACCCGAAGUCGGUAGUCUAACCGCAAGGAGGACGCCGCCGAAGGUAAAACUGGUGAUUGGGGUGAAGUCGUAACAAGGUA